rnacentral:misc_RNA from 1 species
CGCACCUUGCGCUCCUUGGUAUUCCGAGGAGCAUGCCUGUUUGAGUGUCAUGGAAUUCUCAACCUUCAAAACUUUUUUGCUUCGAAGGCUUGGACUUGGAGGUCGUGUCGGCGUCUCUGUCGACUCCUCUGAAAUGUAUUAGCGUGAAUCUUACGGAUCGCCUUCGGUGUGAUAAUUGUCUACGCCGUGGUCGUGAAGUAUAAUAGUGUUCGUGCUUACAAUCGUCUGCAAAGACAACUUACCUUGACAAUCUGACCUCAAAUCAGGUAGGACUACCCGCUGAACUUAA